GAUGAACGCUGGCGGCGUGCCUAAUACAUGCAAGUCGAGCGAACGGACGAGAAGCUUGCUUUUCUGAUGUUAGCGGCGGACGGGUGAGUAACACGUGGAUAACCUACCUAUAAGACUGGGAUAACUUCGGGAAACCGGAGCUAAUACCGGAUAAUAUUUUGAACCGCAUGGUUCAAAAGUGAAAGACGGUCUUGCUGUCACUUAUAGAUGGAUCCGCGCUGCAUUAGCUAGUUGGUAAGGUAACGGCUUACCAAGGCAACGAUGCAUAGCCGACCUGAGAGGAUGAUCGGCCACACUGGAACUGAGACACGGUCCAGACUCCUACGGGAGGCAGCAGUAGGGAAUCUUCCGCAAUGGGCGAAAGCCUGACGGAGCAACGCCGCGUGAGUGAUGAAGGUCUUCGGAUCGUGAAACUCUGUUAUUAGGGAAGAACAGAUGUGUAAGUAACUGUGCACAUCUUGACGGUACCUAAUCAGAAAGCCACGGCUAACUACGUG
rnacentral:rRNA from 1 species